rnacentral:rRNA from 1 species
UACGUAGGGUGCGAGCGUUGUCCGGAAUUACUGGGCGUAAAGAGCUCGUAGGUGGUUUGUCGCGUUGUUCGUGAAACUCACAGCUUAACUGUGGGCGUGCGGGCGAUACGGGCAGACUGGAGUACUGCAGGGGAGACUGGAAGUUCCUGGUGUAGCGGUGGAAUGCGCAGAUAUCAGGAGGAACACCGGUGGCGAAGGCAGGUCUCUGGGCUGAACACUGACGCUCGAUGCACGAAAGCGUGGGGAGCAAACAGG